rnacentral:rRNA from 1 species
UACGUAGGGGGCAAGCGUUGUCCGGAAUCAUUGGGCGUAAAGAGCGUGUAGGCGGCUCGGUAAGUCCGCUCUGAAAGCCCGGGGCUCAACCCCGGGAGGCGGGCGGAUACUGGCGGGCUAGAGUCCGGAAGAGGCGAGUGGAAUUCCUGGUGUAGCGGUGAAAUGCGCAGAUAUCAGGAGGAACACCAAUGGCGAAGGCAGCUCGCUGGGACGGUACUGACGCUGAGACGCGAAAGCGUGGGGAGCAAGCAGG